rnacentral:rRNA from 1 species
GACGAACGCUGGCGGCGUGCUUAACACAUGCAAGUCGAACGGAAAGGCCCUGCUUUUGUGGGGUGCUCGAGUGGCGAACGGGUGAGUAACACGUGAGUAACCUGCCCUUGACUUUGGGAUAACUUCAGGAAACUGGGGCUAAUACCGGAUAGGAGCUCCUGCUGCAUGGUGGGGGUUGGAAAGUUUCGGCGGUUGGGGAUGGACUCGCGGCUUAUCAGCUUGUUGGUGGGGUAGUGGCUUACCAAGGCUUUGACGGGUAGCCGGCCUGAGAGGGUGACCGGCCACAUUGGGACUGAGAUACGGCCCAGACUCCUACGGGAGGCAGCAGUGGGGAAUAUUGCACAAUGGGCGGAAGCCUGAUGCAGCAACGCCGCGUGCGGGAUGACGGCCUUCGGGUUGUAAACCGCUUUCGCCUGUGACGAAGCGUGAGUGACGGUAAUGGGUAAAGAAGCACCGGCUAACUACGUGCCAGCAGCCGCGGUGAUACGUAGGGUGCGAGCGUUGUCCGGAUUUAUUGGGCGUAAAGGGCUCGUAGGUGGUUGAUCGCGUCGGAAGUGUAAUCUUGGGGCUUAACCCUGAGCGUGCUUUCGAUACGGGUUGACUUGAGGAAGGUAGGGGAGAAUGGAAUUCCUGGUGGAGCGGUGGAAUGCGCGGAUAUCAGGAGGAACACCAGUGGCGAAGGCGGUUCUCUGGGCCUUUCCUGACGCUGAGGAGCGAAAGCGUGGGGAGCGAACAGGCUUAGAUACCCUGGUAGUCCACGCUGUAAACGGUGGGUACUAGGUGUGAGGUCCAUUCCACGGGUUCCGUGCCGUAGCUAACGCUUUAAGUACCCCGCCUGGGGAGUACGGCCGCAAGGCUAAAACUCAAAGGAAUUGACGGGGCCCCGCACAAGCGGCGGAGCAUGCGGAUUAAUUCGAUGCAACGCGUAGAACCUUACCUGGGUUCGACAUGGAUCGGGAGCGCUCAGAGAUGGGUGUGCCUCUUUUGGGGUCGGUUCACAGGUGGUGCAUGGCUGUCGUCAGCUCGUGUCGUGAGAUGUUGGGUUAAGUCCCGCAACGAGCGCAACCCUUGUUCACUGUUGCCAGCACGUUAUGGUGGGGACUCAGUGGAGACCGCCGGGGUCAACUCGGAGGAAGGUGGGGAUGACGUCAAGUCAUCAUGCCCCUUAUGUCCAGGGCUUCACGCAUGCUACAAUGGCUGGUACAGAGAGUGGCGAGCCUGUGAGGGUGAGCGAAUCUCGGAAAGCCGGUCUCAGUUCGGAUUGGGGUCUGCAACUCGACCUCAUGAAGUCGGAGUCGCUAGUAAUCGCAGAUCAGCAACGCUGCGGUGAAUACGUUCCCGGG